rnacentral:rRNA from 1 species
GUGUCAGCAGCCGCGGUAAUACGGAGGGGGCGAGCGUUAUUCGGAAUCAUUGGGCGUAAAGGGCGCGUAGGCGGCCCGAUAAGUCAAAGGUGAAAUCCCUCGGCUCAACUGAGGAACUGCCUUUGAAACUGCCGGGCUCGAGGCCGGGAGGGGGUAGCGGAAUUCCCAGUGUAGCGGUGAAAUGCGUAGAUAUUGGGAGGAACACCAGUGGCGAAGGCGGCUACCUGGACCGGUUCUGACGCUGAUGCGCGAAAGCGUGGGGAGCAAACAGGAUUAGAUACCCCCGUAGUCC